rnacentral:lncRNA from 1 species
UCAGACCUGAUCUCCGGCAGACCCGAAUGGUCCUGCUUGUAGAUAGUGCAUGUGGGGGCAUGCAUGAGAUGACCCCAACUUUUGGGAGCAUGUGAGGAUGGCCAAUGUGCCCCUCCCCCCAGGCAAGGUGUGCACGAGUUCGGACACAAAACACACGUUGUGUCACAUGGGGGCAGUGUUGUAGGGUUUUGUCAACGGAAAAACCCUAGAAAAUGCAUCUAGUUUUGGAAAUGAACGAUACUCGUCAUGCAUGCUUGCCAUGGUCAUCCUAGGGUUUGCAUACAGUUUGGUCUGAAUUGGUGAGACCGAGAAGAUAAAUCUGCUCCUAGUACAUGGUGCAUGUGGAGGUAUGCAUGCGACUGUCCCAACUACAUUUGAUUUAAUAAUAUUUGAAGUUUCAAACAGAAAAUAAAAUUUAUAAUUUGGAAUGAAGAAUUGAAAUAAUGAAGAAGUGCAAUAGAACUUAACAUAUUAUCAAUUACAUUUUGGAAAUAUUUCGAAUAUAAAGAAGAGAACAAAUAUUAGAAUGAAGAAGUGAAAUAAAACAGAACAUUUUAUCUUACAAAUUAAAAAUAUUUCAAAAAUAAUAAAG